UUCCUGAAGGUGCUAAAUACCAUGUUUUAGAUUGUUUUGAAGUUUGUGCUAUUUGAGCGUUGAAGCUAAGUGGGAAAGUAAUUAGUAGACUCUACCUAACUGGACACCAUAUUUAAUACUUAAAAGCAUUUCAAAAGUUUGGGGUGGGCAAUGUCAUUGUUCUUCAUUCUUUCAGGUCUCCCGUUUAGAUUGCUUAGCCAAGUGGAAUAUAACCAGUAUACGGGACCUAACUGGACAGGUGCAGAAUCUUUCUUAUACUUCAGCAUUCCAAAAGGGUUUGGGGGUGGGCAAUAUCACUGUUCUUAGUUUUUUCAGGUCACUGGUCCUUACCACUUCGUGCAGAUCAACAGUGUAUUCCUCAACACAGGUGCAAAAUUUCAUCUUUAAGACAUUUAAAGAGGGUUGAGAGGGGGGGCACAAUAUUGUUCUUAAUUUCUUUCAGAUCUCAAGUUGGUGUUAGACAUGAGACAGAAGCCAAACGCAGGUGCCCAAUUUUAUUAUUUCAAAAAGGGGUUUGGGUGGGCAAUGGCAUUCUUCUUAGUUUUUCAGAUCUUCAGUGCUUUCUGCCUGAAAUGGAACAUAAAGCAAAGGUGCUCAUUCUCAUUUGAAAAUUCCUAAAGUAUUUUGGAUAAGUACUACAUGCUUACCGUUGAAAUUUCAAUCUGUUGCUUAGACUUGGAUGUGCCUGUACUCAGGUUCUACAUCUCAUUCCCAUUCAAACCAGAAGUUAUUUAGGACAGGGAACAUUAUUGUUCUUAGUUUUUCAGGUUUCAAGUCCUUGCUGCUGAAGUGAAAAUACUAUGAACAGUCUUCAACAGGUGCCGACUUUUAAAAUAUAAUUAAAAGCAAUUUCAGUGGGUUUUUCUGGGGGGGGCAAAUGGCUUGUGUUUAGUUUUUCAGAUCCAUGAAUCCUGAAGCUCCAGUUCAGCAACUUAAAGUAAUUCUCCAUGAUCUCAAGUACCUUUACACAAAAUGUGUCCGUAAGCUGCUAUUAUGAGUAUAUUGUGUAUGAAUGAGGUAGCAUUCUAGUGUUGGCAUUUUGUAUCUUGUGCUUCUGAGGCUGU
rnacentral:lncRNA from 1 species